ensembl:lncRNA
AAUUUAAUACUUUUAUUCAUCAAGGAUGCAUUCAGUUGAACAAAAGUGACAGUAAAUGCAUUUUACAAAAGAUUUCUAUUUCAAAUAAAUUCUGUUCAGUUGAACUGUCUAUUCAUCCAACAAUCCUGAAGAUAAGAAAUAUCACAGUUUUUAACAAAAAUAUUGUGCAGCACAACUGUGUUCAACAUUGAUAAUAAUCAGAAAUGUUUCUCGAGCAGUAAAUCAUCAUAUUAGAAUGAUUUCUGAAGAUCAUGUGACACUGAAGACUGGAGUAAUGAUGCUGAAAAUACAGCUGCACAUCACAGAAAUACAUUACAGUUUAACAGAUACUCACAUAGAAAACAGCUGUUUGAAAUAGUAAUAAUAGUUCACUGUUUUUCAUGUAUUCAAUCAAAUACAUAGUGUUGUUGAGCAGAACUGGUUGUGAUUGUGUGAGUCAGGUGUUGAGGUUGAUGCUAUUUGUUCAGACAGUGAGGGCUGAGACCUGACGCCAGAUCUUCUCAUCAGUCCACGACAAUCAAAUCAAACACGCAUUACACAGCUUUAAUCACUGGACACUUUAAAGAGCGCUCCUCAACCUCAUGUGCUUCCACGUCCACUUUCUAUCAAACAGGAGACGGUUAACCAAAUGUUCACGCUGCUCUUCUCCAUAUAAAGAAAGAGACGGGGGCUGAAAAGAGGGAAUGAAACUCUCUGUUUUAAGAAGAAAGAAGCUGGAAUGUGUGUGUGUGUGUGUGUGUGUGUGUGCGUGUGUGUGUUUAAGUGUGUGUGUGUGUGUGUGUGUAUGUGUGUGUGUGUGUGUGUGUGUGUGUGUGUGUUUAAGUGUGUGUGUGUGUAUGCGAGUGUGUGUGUGAGUGUGAUUGUGAGUGUGAUUGUGUGUGUGUUUUAAUGUGUGUGUUUUUGUGUGAGUGAGUGUGUGUGUUUAAGUAUGUGUGUAUGUGUAGUGACAGACAGUCAGUACAGCAUGUGGAUGCUUCUUCUUCAUGUGGAGGACACAGAUAGGAGGUGCGUCUAUAAUCUUCCCGCAGGACACGCUUCCUGCCGAGGUUAUCGGCCUCGACAGACGCUUCCACCCCUACUGGUGUUAAGAAGCAGCAUCCGGCACUGUUCUCUGAGUUCAAGGGCUGUGUGUUUGGAGACGAAUGCAUGUGUAGAGUGGACCUGUGCUCCAUGCUGA